rnacentral:rRNA from 1 species
AUACGGAAGGUGCGAACGUUGCUCGGAAUCACUGGGCAUAAAGAGCUCGUAGGCGGUCUGCAAGGUCUAGGGUGAAAUCCCUCGGCACAACCGAGGAACUGCCUCAGAAACCGGCAGGCUAGAGGGCAGGAGGGGAGAGCGGAAUUCCUGGUGGAGCGGUGAAAUGCGUAGAUAUCAGGAGGAACGCCGGCGGCGAAAGCGGCUCUCUGGGCAGUGCCUGACGCUGAGGUGCGAGAGCGUGGGUAGCAAACAGGAUUAGAUACCCCGGUAGUCC